rnacentral:rRNA from 1 species
CAGUAGCCACGGGAAUACGUAGGUGGCAAGCGUUGUCCGGAAUUAUUGGGCGUAAAGGGCUCGCAGGCGGUUUCUUAAGUCUGAUGUGAAAGCCCCCGGCUCAACCGGGGAGGGUCAUUGGAAACUGGGAAACUUGAGUGCAGAAGAGGAGAGUGGAAUUCCACGUGUAGCGGUGAAAUGCGUAGAGAUGUGGAGGAACACCAGUGGCGAAGGCGACUCUCUGGUCUGUAACUGACGCUGAGGAGCGAAAGCGUGGGGAGCGAACAGGAUUAGAGACCCCUGUAGUCCCUGUCUCUUAUAC